rnacentral:tmRNA from 1 species
GGGGAUGACUUGGAUUCGACGGGGAUGGGAAUGGUCAGGGACGCAUACCGUGCUCUCCGUGUUGCACGUUAAUAAAACGGAAACCAAUAAGUGCAGACUACAACUACGCACUGGCUGCUUAACCAAAACUAAGUAGCCCGUCUCCAGAGAUCUCACCUGCCAGGUCUCGACGAGGCGUCGACUUCCGGCAGGGUAGCGGUUCGUUUUCCUCAACAGCGCACCGUGAACCCGGCAACGGGAAGCUUGAGGUUGCUUUUCUAACGCCCUGUCUAUCGGAUGUGGAAAAGUGAAGCUCGAAAGAUAGACUAUGUAUGUAGUGGACUUGAUGGUUCUCUCUUCGGACGCGGGUUCGACUCCCGCCAUCUCCACAA